CCCGCAGCCGAUACUGACGUGCAAAUCGUCGUUCUGACUUGGUAUAAGGGCGAAAGACAAUCCGAUACCUGUCAGUAGCUGUUCCCUCCGAAGUUUCCCUCAGGAUAGCUAGCCUGAGCCCGGGUGCGAGUUCUAUCGGGUAAAGCGAAGAUUAGAGGCAUCGGGGCGCAACGCCCUCGACCUAUUCUCAACUUACAAUAGGUAGGACGCCGGCUCUUGUUGAGCCGCGCCAACGGAAUCGAAGCUAAAGUGGCCAUUUUGGUAAGCAGAACUGGCGAUGCGGGAAUGAACCGGAAGCCGUUAACGGUGCCUCAUAACUCGCGCUAACAAGAACCCACAAAGGGUGUUGUCGAUUAAGACAGCAGGACGGUGGUCAUUGAAGCGAAAUCCGCUAAGUGUGUAACAACUCACCGCCGAAUCAACUAGCCCCGAAAAUGAUGCGCUUAAGCGCGCGACCUACACCCGCCGUCGAGGCAAGUGCCAGGCCCUCGAUGAGUAGGAGGGCGCGCGGUCGCUCAAAACUUGGGCGUGAGCCCGGCGGAGCGCGUCGGUGCGGAUCUUGGUGGGUAUAGAAAUAUCAAAUGAGAACUUUGAAGGCCGAAGAGGGGAAAGUUCCAUGUGAACGGCACUGCACAUGGUUAGUCGAUCCUAAGAGACGGGGAAGCCCGUCAAUAGCGUGUUUCACGCGAGCUUCGAAAGGAAUCGGUUAAAAUCCUGAGACCGGACGUGCGCUGACGCAACGUUAGGAUUCCGAGACGUCGGCGGGGCCUCGGAAGAGUAUCUUUCUGUUAACAGCCUGCCCACCCUGGAAACGACUCAGUCGAGUAGGCCACGGCUGGAAGAGCAAGCCGACUCGCGCGUUCCGUGCCCCCGGCGGCCCUUGAAAAUCCGAGACCGAGUGCCUCCCACGCCCGGUCGUACUCAUAACGCAUCAGGUCUCCAAGGUGAACAGCCUCUGGUCGAUGAACAAUGUAGGCAAGGGAAGUCGCAAAAUGAUCCGUAAACCUCGGGAAAAGGAUUGGCUCUGAGGGCUGGCACGGGGGUCCCUGUCCGAACCCGUCGCUUCGGUGGACUGCUCGAGCUGCUUCCCGCGGCGAGAGCGGGUCACCGCGUGCCGGCCGGGGACGGACUGGGAACGGCCUCUUCGGCCUCCCCGGGCGUCGAACAGCCAACUCAGAACUGGUACGACAGGGAAUCCGACUGUUUAAUUAAAACAAAGCAUUGCGAUGUCCCGUUGCGGAUGCUAACGCAAUGUGAUUUCUGCCCAGUGCUCUGAAUGUCAGUGAAGAAUUCAACCAAGCGCGGUAAACGGCGGAGUAACUAUGACUCUCUUAAGUAGCCAAAUGCCUCUCAUCUAAUAGUGACGCGCAUGAAUGGAUUAACAAUUCCCACUGUCCCUGUCUACUAUCCAGCGAAACCACAGCCAAGGAACGGCUUGGCAUAAUCAGCGGGGAAAGAAACACCCUGUUGAGCUUGACUCUAGUCCGACUUGUAAAUGACUUGAGAGGUGUAGUAUAAGUGGAGCCCUCGGGCGAAAGUGAAAUACCACUACUUUUAACGUAUUUUACUUAUUCCCGUGAAUCGGAAGCGGGCAAACGCCCUCUUUUGACCCAAGGCCCGCCUCGGCGGGUCGAAUCCGGGGAAGACAUUGUCAGGUGGGGAUUUGGCUGGGCGCACAUCUGUUAAAAAGACAUAACGCAGGUGUCCUAAGAUGAGCUCAACGAGAACAAAAUCUCUGUUAGAACAGAAGGUAAAAGAUCUCGUUUGAUCUGAUUUCCAGUACAAUACGAACCGUGAAACGUGGCCAACGAUCCUUUAGACCUUCGAAUUUGAAGCUAGAGGUGUCAGAAAAGUUACCACAGGGAUAACUGACUUGUGCAGCCAAGCUUCAUAGCGACGUUGCUUUUGAUCCUUCGAUGUCGCUCUUCCUAUCAUUGUGAAGCAGAAUUCACCAAGUGUUGAUUGUUCACCCACCAAUAGGGAACGGACUGGGUUAGACCGUCGAGACAGGUAGUUUUACCCUACUGAUGAUAGUGUCGCAAUAGUAAUUCAACCUAGUACGAGAGGAACCGUUGAUUCGCACAAUUGGUCAUCGCGCUGGUUGAAAAGCCAUGCGCGAAGCUACCGUGCGCUGGAUUAAUGACUGAAACGCUCUAAUCAGAAUCCGGGCUAGAACGACGCGUGUGCCCGUCGCCUGUUUGCCGACCACAAGUAGGGCCUCGGCCCCAAAGGCACGUGUCGUAGGCUAAGCUCGCGUGGCGGACGAGCCGCGCGGCGCCUUGAAGUACAAUUCCCAUCAACGACGUAGAAUCCUUGCAGACCACUUAAAUACGUGACGGGGUAUUGUAAGCAGAGUGGCCUUGCUGCCACGAAUCCCCAGAUUCAGCCCUCGUCGCUCAAUUCGUC
rnacentral:ncRNA from 1 species